GGCUUGACUGGAGCUGGAGGCUCUGCGUCCAAAGUGGCUCACUCUCACUGUUGGUAAGUCAAGGCUGGGUGUUGGUAGGAGGCCUCAGUUCCUCACCUCGUGGGCUUCUCUGUGGGUUGCUUGUGUGUCUUCAUGACAUGGCAGCUGGCCUCCUGCACACCAAGUGAUCCAGGACAGAUCCAAGGGCAGAAGCUGCAAUGUCUUUUAUGACCCAGCCUCAGGAGUCACAUGCUGUCAUUUCACAAUGUUCUGUGGGUUCUAUAAGUCAGUUAUGUCAGUUAUUCACUGUGGGAGGAGACUACACGGGAGUGCGAAGACCACCAGAUGAGAAUCACCUCACGGGCCAGCUGUGGAGGUUGCCACAAUUCUCCAAAAUUUGAUCCAAAACAUCACUUUUUUCACACCUGUGGAGUAGAAAUGGGGGAGGGGCGCGUGGGGUAUGUGAGGAGAUUUCCUUCUCUUCUGAGAUAACUAUUUUCAACUUUUAGCUGAUUCUCUUGUAGAUUCCUGUUUGCCACCUCUAUGGGGCUGCACAAGCACGUGAAGACCAUCAGACAAGAACCAUCUUGGGGACCAUCUUGGAGUCUGGCUGCUGCAGUUCUACAAAGUUUGAUCCCAGAACAUCUCUUGCACACCAGCAGUGUAGAAAUGGUGCCCUGGAGGCCCCGCCCCACGUGAUCCUGCUGUCCAGAAUCCACAGAGACAGGGCCCCUCCUUGCUUCGGGUGCUGCCUGCGAAUCAGUCAGCGAAGAGACACGGAAAGAAAGGGUGGACUCUGGGCACGUCUCUAGUCCCUGUAUCUUCCUUUUACAGAGUCGCAGGCUCCUUCUAACUCUACCAGUCAUUUUCCACUGUUUUCUGGGGCCAGCCCCCACCUCACAGUCACUUCCAAGUUUUUAUUCUUUUAGCCUUACUGUGAACCAGGAAACAAAACAACCAAGCAUAUUUCCUUUAAGUCCAACAUGGAUAUUAAUACUAUUAAUAAAAUGAACAAUGUCGUACUGCUAUGGCAGCAGUACAUAAA